rnacentral:lncRNA from 1 species
AGGUGAGGGUAAAGAGUGAGAACACAACUAUAUAGUGGGCUUGGCGGUAUGCUCUUGAAGAAAUGGUUGCAGGGACCCGAUCGACUUUAUUUCAAUCACCCAACAAAAACUAAAAACUAAAAAAUAUUUAGCUCAAGUCCCAAAUAAGUGACCUCAAUUCAACUGUGGUAUUGUUGUACUGUUGUAUUAUGAAUUAUGAAUUUUGUUUUGUACUGUAAGGGACAAGUAUGUAUGUUGUACUGUAAUUUUGAAUUUUAUUUUGUAUUGUUAUUUCUUGUUCUAAAUUGAAGACUACAACUAUAUAGCUAUCAUACUAAACUUAUUUAUUUUAGUUUCUGUAACGAUUUCUUGCAACUUAAUUUAAUCUAUGUUAAAUUGCAAUUUUUUUAGUUUGUUUUAGAAAUAAUAUUUUCGACAAACUUUG